UACGUAGGGUGCAGGCGUUAAUCGGAAUUACUGGGCGUAAAGCGUGCGCAGGCGGCUUUGCAAGACAGAUGUGAAAUCCCCGGGCUCAACCUGGGAACUGCAUUUGUGACUGCAUGGCUGGAGUGCGGCAGAGGGGGAUGGAAUUCCGCGUGUAGCAGUGAAAUGCGUAGAUAUCUGGAGGAACACCGGUGGCGAAGGCGGCAUCCUGGACCAAUAUUGACGCUGAGGAGCGAAAGCCAGGGGAGCAAACGGG
rnacentral:rRNA from 1 species